rnacentral:rRNA from 1 species
CCUACGGGAGGCAGCAGUAGGGAAUCUUGCGCAAUGGGCGAAAGCCUGACGCAGCCAUGCCGCGUGAAUGAUGAAGGUCUUAGGAUUGUAAAAUUCUUUCACCGGGGAAGAUAAUGACGGUACCCGGAGAAGAAGCCCCGGCUAACUUCGUGCCAGCAGCCGCGGUAAUACGAAGGGGGCUAGCGUUGCUCGGAAUUACUGGGCGUAAAGGGCGCGUAGGCGGACAUUUAAGUUAGAGGUGAAAGCCCAGGGCUCAACCCUGGAAUAGCCUUUAAUACUGGAUGUCUUGAGUUCGGGAGAGGUGAGUGGAACUCCGAGUGUAGAGGUGAAAUUCGUAGAUAUUCGGAAGAACACCAGUGGCGAAGGCGACUCACUGGCCCGAUACUGACGCUGAGGCGCGAAAGCGUGGGGAGCAAACAGGAUUAGAUACCCUGGUAGUCCACGCUGUAAACGAUGAGUGCUAGUUGUCGGCAUGCAUGCAUGUCGGUGACGCAGCUAACGCAUUAAGCACUCCGCCUGGGGAGUACGGUCGCAAGAUUAAAACUUAAAGGAAUUGACGG